UCUCCGUAGGUGAACCUGCGGAGGGAUCAUUACAGAGUUCAUGCCCUACCGGGUAGAUCUCCCACCCUAUGUUAUUAUUACUUUGUUGCUUUGGCGGGCCGUUAGGCUCCGGCCCGACUACCGGCCCCGGCUGGUAAGCGCCCGCCAGAGGACCCAAAACCCUGAAUAUUAGUGUCGUCUGAGUACUAUAUAAUAGUUAAAACUUUCAACAACGGAUCUCUUGGUUCUGACAUCGAUGAAGAACGCAGC
rnacentral:misc_RNA from 1 species